GGGAACUCUUAGAUCCCCUAUGGAUUGUGGUGUUAAUAGUUGUGUCUUUGGCCGGGCAUGACGGUUAGUGAAUC
rnacentral:ncRNA from 1 species